GUAUGUAUUGGAUGGAGGAGCAUUAUGUAUGGAACCUCUCACAAAACAGGUGAUUAUUUUCUUAUAAUACUCAAUUUUCACUCUCAAGAGAGUGUUUUGAUUAUGUAAGUUAGAUCAUGAGUAGAAGGUUAUCUUAAAGACGUUUUAGUUUUUUUUUUUUUUCAUAGCUCCUACUUUCAAGAAUGAAAAAGGUAUCCCAGCACUUUGGGAAGCCCGGGUCAGCGAAUCACAAGGUCAAGAGAUCGAGACCAUCCUGCCUAACACGUCGAAACCCCAUCUCUACUAAAAAGAAAUACAAAAUUUAGCUGGGCAUGGUGGUGGGCUCCUGUAGUGCCAGAAUCUCGGGAGGCUUAGGCAGGAGAAUGGCAUGAACCCAGGAGGAGGAGCUUGCAGAGAGCCAAGAUGGCGCCACUGCACUGCAGUCUGGGUGAUAGAGCUACCUGCUAGGAUACACAUUAACAGUAACCUUUAUAUAAGGUUCUAAUUUGGUCAUGUUGGGCACUUAGAACAUCGGUUUGUUGUUUUUUUGUGAGAUUCUGGAAAUGUUCCAAUUUUACUUUUUCCCCUGACUCCGGACUUUUUAACACUGAUCUGCUGCUGUUAAGUUACAUGCUAUUUUGUUAGGCCUUCUCAAGUGGGAAUCAGGAAUGCUGCGGUGUUCUAGAGAUGUUUUGUUCUUCCUGUAGGGCUGAAGCAGUGCCUACUCCAUAGAAUCAGUCAUCAUGCAAAUAAAUGCCAAAUGAGUCAAAGGCAAAGCCAACGUGCAGCUUGGCGCAAAGAAGGGAGCUGGUUAAGUAAACCGUGGAACUUCCUAACGAUGAAUACUGUGCAGUUGUAAAGAAGAAUGAGAAAGACCUCUGUACUCAUGUAGAAAAACUCACAUAUAUAGUGUGGGUGUUAUAAAAGGAACAAGGAAUGGCAUCGUAUGAAUGGCUGGAGUGCAGUGCCAUAAUCAUAGCUACUGCAGCCUUGAACUCCUGGACUGGAACUUUUUGGUUCUGCAUCUUCGCAGUUAAAAGAAUAUUGGAAGAGGAAGAGCCCUGGCGUUCCAGCAGGAGCUAACAGGAAAAAGAAAAUCAAUGGCAGUAGCCCUGACACAGCCCCUUCUGGUGGUUACCACCCACCUGCGGAUUCAGCAACAGGUGUCUACGGGGAGGGCCCUAUGUCAUCUUCCACCCUGAAAGAUCUAGAGGUAAGAGGCCCUGGGCCGAGGUUCAGUGACCCUGCAACCUCCUCCCACAGCAGGGGCUGGUUGCCCCUCUGCCAGCUGAGACAGCCCACACACACCCCUCCCCAGCCCUAAUGAGUGUUCUCUCUACCCCUCCCCACAAUCCUCCUCCAACUCCUCCUCUCUGCGUGCACCUCAGAGCCAGUACCAAGAACUAGCAGGAG
rnacentral:lncRNA from 10 species